UAUGUGAUCGUCUCUCGCAUAUCAAUAAGCGGAGGAAAAGAAACUAACAAGGAUUCCCCUAGUAACGGCGAGUGAAGCGGGAAGAGCUCAAAUUUGAAAUCUUAAAGGGUUUCCCUUUACGAAUUGUAGUUUAAAGAAGUGUUUUCUGUUGAGGUUUUGGUAAAAGUUCUUUGGAAUAGGACAUCAUAGAGGGUGAGAAUCCCGUAUUUGACCUUUACUUUCAACUUUGUGAUACACUUUCAAAGAGUCGGAUUGUUUGGGAAUGCAGUCCAAAAUGGGUGGUAAAUUUCAUCUAAAGCUAAAUAUUGGCGAGAGACCGAUAGCGAACAAGUACCGUGAGGGAAAGAUGAAAAGAACUUUGAAAAGAGAGUUAAACAGUACGUGAAAUUGUCAAAAGGGAAGCGUUUGACACCAGUGUUGUUUUUCUGAAAAUCAAUUAAAGAACUGUUUAUGCUAAGCUGUUUAGACUUUAUCAGCUAACUGUUUAGUUUUGAGCUUUUCUUUAAUGCACUUUUCAGUUAACAAGUCAACAUCAAUUUCUUUUGCUGUAAAAAAGCUUGAGGAAGGUGGCUUGAGAUUCGUCUUAAGUGUUUAUAGCCUCUUGCCUAUGCAGUCGGAGAGAUUGAGGUCUGCAGCGUAGAUCCUUCGGGGCUAAAUGCAUUUGUGCUAAGUUAUAGCAUUUUAUAGACAACUUGUUGACUAUGAUUUGUCUUGUAGCUUACUCGCUUAUGUUAUUUUACCUACGCUUAGGAUGUUGAUCUCUCACAGUCGAG
rnacentral:rRNA from 1 species